rnacentral:rRNA from 1 species
GAUGAACGCUGGCGGCGUGCUUAACACAUGCAAGUCGAACGGAAAGGCCCAAGCUUGCUUGGGUACUCGAGUGGCGAACGGGUGAGUAACACGUGGGUGAUCUGCCCUGCACUUCGGGAUAAGCCUGGGAAACUGGGUCUAAUACCGGAUAGGACCACAUUUUGGAUGGUGUGGUGGAAAGUUUUUCGGUGUGGGAUGAGCUCGCGGCCUAUCAGCUUGUUGGUGGGGUAAUGGCCUACCAAGGCGUCGACGGGUAGCCGGCCUGAGAGGGUGUACGGCCACAUUGGGCCUGAGAUACGGCCCAGACUCCUACGGGAGGCAGCAGUGGGGAAUAUUGCACAAUGGGCGCAAGCCUGAUGCAGCGACGCCGCGUGGGGGAUGACGGCCUUCGGGUUGUAAACUCCUUUCGCUAGGGACGAAGCGUUAUGUGACGGUACCUGGAGAAGAAGCACCGGCUAACUACGUG